UACGUAGGGGGCUAGCGUUGUCCGGAAUCAUUGGGCGUAAAGAGCGUGUAGGCGGCCCGGUAAGUCCGCUGUGAAAGUCGGGGGCUCAACCCUCGAAUGCCGGUGGAUACUGUCGGGCUAGAGUGCGGAAGAGGCGAGUGGAAUUCCUGGUGUAGCGGUGAAAUGCGCAGAUAUCAGGAGGAACACCAAUUGCGAAGGCAGCUCGCUGGGACGUAACUGACGCUGAGACGCGAAAGCGUGGGUAGCAAACAGG
rnacentral:rRNA from 1 species